GACGUAGGGCGCGAGCGUUGUCCGGAUUUAUUGGGCGUAAAGAGCUCGUAGGCGGCUUGUCGCGUCGAAUGUGAAAUCUCAGGGCUCAACUCUGACAUUGCAUUCGAUACGGGCAGGCUCGAGUUCGGUAGGGGAGACUGGAAUUCCUGGUGUAGCGGUGAAAUGCGCAGAUAUCAGGAGGAACACCGGUGGCGAAGGCGGGUCUCUGGGCCAAUACUGACGCUGAGGAGCGAAAGCGUGGGGAGCGAACAGG
rnacentral:rRNA from 1 species